rnacentral:rRNA from 1 species
GACGAACGCUGGCGGCGUGCUUAACACAUGCAAGUCGAACGGAAAGGCCCUGCUUUUGUGGGGUGCUCGAGUGGCGAACGGGUGAGUAACACGUGAGUAACCUGCCCUUUACUUUGGGAUAACUUCAGGAAACUGGGGCUAAUACCGGAUAGGAGCUCCUGCUGCAUGGUGGGGGUUGGAAAGUUUCGGCGGUUGGGGAUGGACUCGCGGCUUAUCAGCUUGUUGGUGGGGUAGUGGCUUACCAAGGCUUUGACGGGUAGCCGGCCUGAGAGGGUGACCGGCCACAUUGGGACGGAGAUAAGGCACAGACUACUACGGGAGGGAGCAGAGGGGAAGAUUGCACAAUGGGCGGAAGCCUGAUGCAGCAAAGCCGCGUGCGGGAUGACGGCCUUCGGGUUGUAAACCGCUUUCGCCUGUGACGAAGCGUGAGUGACGGUAAUGGGUAAAGAAGCACCGGCUAACUACGUG